CUUUGGACAUUAGAUCACCGCUGUAAAAGCUGUAGAAUGUCCUUACGUGACACGUGUCUUUUCCAGGUUCGCCGGCACACAGCUGCCACUCGCCUAUGAUGCCACGAGGGAUCUUUGUGUCUUGUGUGAAGCUCCGGUUGCAGGUCGCGUAUGGUAUCGUGUUGAUGGUGACCUUCAGCAGGUCACUGGAGCCAGUCUCGUCCUCUGAGAAGGGAGGGAAUUGGGUGUUCAAGAUGAACAGUUGGCAAUACCUACCCCAAUCAAUCAAGCCCCAACCAGCUGCAAUCGCCAAGUUCACAUUACCGGUGUCCGGCAGGGAGUACGCUAGGCAGCCAGGUCUCACCCAAGCGUUGAAGGUCACUUCCCUUUCCAAUCUCAACAGCCCAAUGUCGUGAUACUCGGCGGGACGUUUGUACUGGGGAUGCCUGAUCCUCUCGGUGACUUUGACCUGCUGCGGUUUCGCGUCGUCGUCGCUCCUCUCCAGGUUCAAGUCUCCCACCCGCACCCAGGAGGCGGCUCCCCUGUUAAAUUUUUAUAAAUUAAACCAGAGGUACUUGGCUGCAGUAGCUGAAGAGUUGCUUAUCACUUAACGCGUUGAAUGUCGCAUUAUUUCAUAGAGCAAACUAUGAUUGAGUUGUUAUUAUUAGUAUCUAUUCAUUCAGCUGAAUGUCAGCCCAUUAGGUAGCACCAUUGUUUUCAAAUAAUCAUUAUUGAAUUGAGUGAACUCUAGUAAUUCGAUUCGGUUGGGUUCACCGGUGAGCCCCAUGGCAUUCAACGCGUUGAGCAAUGAAUUCUACACAUGAAUACAACUGUGGACACGUGCCAGUUGACAUUGGACAGACAGUGAGCCGCGGUGAGCACAAACUUCUCGGAUAUCAAGCUGCCGCCGCAGGACCAAACGACGUCGCCGCCACUGUUGUACCCGACCGCCGCCAUGUGCGGGAACUCCUUGGGAUCAGCCUUCUUGCCUCCGACGAUCAGCUUGCGCGACUUGAUCGCGCACACCGACACGUUCACCGGCUGCGCGUCCACCGCCAGAAUAGGCGGGUACACUAGCUGGUACACCGAUCUCGCGUACUCCUCGCAUUCUGGAACGCAAACGGAACAUGCAACGAUGAAUAUCCGCGCGAACCACCGUUGCAGAUUAGUCGUUCGAGACUCAUAAUUCUCUGUGCGAUAGCUCACUCGCUCUAGCCACGGAUCCCUCGCGAUUCGCGAUUAGGGGUCCAGGACCGGUCUGCUCGGUGGAUGUCGGUGGCCUCCGGGUGGUCGUCGUCGUAGGUCGUUGACCCGUCGGACAACAGACCAGCGCGUCGAAACCCACGUACCCGCACACCUUGGUUGGAGGGUUGCCUUGUAACAAUUGCUGGUACACCGGCGGACAUUGCUGCAGAAUCUUGCACGUGCCCGGCGCAUCGUCUACGACGCACGAGUCGCCUGGGAAUAAAAAUAGAGUCGUCAUUUUCAUGAAUAAUUAUGAUAAGUAAUACAAUGGUCCAUGAUACUCAGAGUAUUUAUAGUUUAGCAAAGACUCGUUGGAUUCUAUCUAGACAUGGAAAAUCCAGGUCGUUACCUUCGAACUCUUGACCACUGGACGUGGAAAUCAGCAGCAACGUCAACGUUACCGACGACAACAACGACGACGGCAUCGUUCGAGAAGCUUCCUCGGUAUCAGCACUCUUUGACCGGUUGAUUGCCACUGCUCCGCGGCUUCUUCGAUCAGAAACUUUUGUAUGCCCCACCACCGCUCCGCGUGGGUCCGCGAGGAGAGCGGGAGAAGGAAACCGCAGGCGCAGGGAAGAACCUGGUUUUUUUUAACGCGUGCUACGAACAGGUUUGGAUACUGGGAACAGGUCUGACGAAGACAAAGAGAGUGCGUUUAGCCUCAUAUAUUUGCAUCGUUUUAUUUUUUCUUUAGAUUUAUGUUAGGCUUGUCAUUACCUUCGUGAGUGCAUGAUCAUCGAAUGGAACGAAAUGAAUGCAUAUAAAUUUUUUAUUUAGCUCCGACUAAAUAAAAGGAUGGAGUUAUGCCUCGAGGGAACGAGGGGUUGAUUCAUUCCAAGCAUGUAAAUUGCUCGAGGAAGGAAAAUAGUUGCCCUGCGUGAUUCACGUACACCAGAGAUAUCUCAAUGGAGCGAAUGACGUACGUUUGAACAAACGCCAAGCAUACCAUUAAUUUGUAUUUGCUGAUUCAUGUUGCAAACGUGAUUCCCGUGUUUCCUUGUAGCUGCAUUUUCGCGCCUUGGGUAUGCAACCGGCUGUACGCGCGUGCGCUUCGGUGUGCCUAGGUACUCAGGCGUUAAUGAUACAAGGUACAUUAUUUUCAGCUACAGUGAAUCGUAUAAAUUGUAACAAUUUAACCAGGCGUUCGCCUUUAACCCUCAGAGAUUGAAUUUAGGUUUAAGGUUCGCUCGACGAAGGUAUAGGAAGGUAUAGGAACGAAUAAAGUGUACAACCAGGUGGUUUAACACAUCCCACCUAAAAAUAUUUUAUUGCUAAUUAGUCUGUUCAAUAACAUGUUUGUAUAUUUACAAAUUAAUUACCCGAAUAAUGCGUACUGUAUAUGAGCAUCUUACGUUAUCCGAUAAAAAUGUAGACGCGUUCCGCUUUGUACAACAAUGAAUACCCGCAGUCGUAUCGAUUAUCAAAUUUAAAAAGACAAAAGAAAAAAAGGAAAACAAAAAGAGAGAAAGAGAGAGAGAGAGACAGAGAGGGAGGGAGAGAGAAAGAAAAUAAAGGAGAUAAUAGUAACAGCAAUUAAUAAUCGAUGGAUAUCGAUAAAAAAUAUGAAUAGUAACAAUAAACACGCGGCACUUAGAGGCUAAUGUCGGGCAUCGAGCGCUAGGAAUAAAAAGAGCAUUCUCAACCUAGGAAUACUACCAAUAUACAAAAAGAAAA